UGAGAGCAAAUAACGAACUCAUUUAUUCAGUAACAGAGAAGGCCUUAUUAACCCUUCACCCAGAGCCCAGUCUAUAUGGUCGUCCCUCAUUGGCUGGGCACAAUCAGGAACUCUGAUAUCAAUCAGGAACUUGGACAGUGACUGUUGCUAGGCCCUCAGGCAGACAGACUCCAGGAUGGCUCUUAGGGAGUAUGUUAUGUGCAUGCCUUGGCAACUGGUCUGAGCUAACUUCCUAGGCCCUAUGGGCCCAUCCUACUACAUACGGUAAUCUUAGAAGUGUUGCAUUAAAUGGGAGUCUGGGAGUGCUGGUGCUGCACGCUUGGAACCUCGACACGCAGAGAUGGAGACAGAAGGAUCAGGGUUCAAGGACAUUUUCAUUCUCAGCUACAGUGAGGCCAAGACUAGCCUGGAUGAUAUGACAUCUUGUCAAGAAGAGACAGCAGGGGUUGGGAAAUAUCAACAUAGAAUCAACAAGAUGUUCCUUGAGCCAUGGAUAUAGGAGUUGUCAUACCGAUGUAUCCACAGGUGCUUGAAUUCCUAUCUCUGAAACAAAUUAAGAUAAAUUCAACGUCAAAAUAAAAAAGCUUGGAUGUGGCGAGAAUCCAUGAGAAUAACCUGCAGUGUUAUCAUUGUCAACGUGUUCUCACUGAGACACCAGAUCCCGGAUGGUUUGCCUGUCUCUCCAGUGGCGGAGAGGUGGCAGACAUUGGGGGGGGGGGUGUGUAUGAAGAGAUGGCAUCAGUUAGGAAGAGCCACGUCUGCCUUAGACGUGCAGGGGAACUCUUCAAGAAAGGACCUCUUUUGUAUAAAUCCUCUGUGUGAAAUCCAUGCCCUUAAUCCACAAAUAUGCUACUUUAAAAAAACAAAUCACAUCCUAGUAUUUGUACCCAGAUAUGGAUAACAUACAAAUCCUCGUAUUUCCUA